rnacentral:lncRNA from 1 species
UCCCUUUCAUCAGUCUUCCCGCGUCCGCCGAUUCCUCCUCCUUGGUCGCCGCGUCCUUGGCUGGCGUAUGUGUGGAGACCUCCAGGCCGUGCAGCACCUUGGUGGCCACAGCUCUCCAGGAUGUCCUCACCUUCCUCAGGGCCCUGCCCUCCUGACCUGGAGUGUUCUGGAAAGCUCCUCCUGAGCUUGGAUAAACUGCAGGAGCGAAGGGGCUGACCGUUUGUCGGGACGCAGUUGAAAGAGUCGCUGUGUCCUGCUCCGGGCUCUCCUGCUGGAGAGGAGAGGCUUGCACGUGCCUGUCGUCUGCGCAAGCUUUGAAGCUCAGACUUGGUCUCUGUUAGGAGAGAUGGGGAUGACGGAGUGACGUCACCUGUGUGGACUCAGCUGCCACCUGGGAUUGUGGUGGCGGCGGGUCUGUCUGGCGCUCAGCUUCCAUCUCCACCAGUGUCACCUCCACACCACCUCGCCAAGCAGCUUCUGGAAAGGCCCCCGGCCGCCCCGGGCUGACCUGCUGCUGUGUCUGACCCGGUUAGUCUUUCUGGCUGCCUCUAACCUUGCUGCUUUUCCUUCAUGCUGUCCUAGGAGGCCA